CUCCUGUAGCCAGAGAUCACAGGUCUUCCCUGUGAAACUUUGGUUUCUUUCUAUAAAUGUGUGUGGUUUUCAGCGCUCAACUCCUGUCUUCAAAUGGUACAUUCAUAAAAUUGCACUAGGAUGCAGGAAGGGAGCUGCAGUCAUCAAAUGAGUUUGACUUUGGAGCCUCAAAACAGGAUGAUUCGAGCUGAUUGCAUGAGCAAACAACAAAGAUCUGGGAGGCAGAUGCGUGCUGGCCCUCACUGGACACCGCUUCGCAGUUUGAUCUGGUCAAGCCUGGCCCCAGUUUCUUCACUAGGUGAUGCCAUUAGAAGGCAGGACGUUUGGGAGGUGAUUAGUUCAUGAAUGUGGAGCCCUGGUGAAUGGGAUUAGUUCCCUUAUGAAAAAGAGACCCUGGAAAACUCUCACCCUCCUACCAUGUGAGGACACAGUGAGAUGGCGGCACUAUGAACGAGAAGGCAUGUCCUCAUCAGAAGAUGGAGGGAGCCUCCCUGCCAAAAGAGUCUCCGCCUGGAGUUGAAAGACCCACACUGCUCCUCACUGAUGUGCUCUCAGUCUCCUCAUCUGUAAAAUGGGGACAAUCAAAUCACACCUGUGCUGCCCACCUCAGGAUCACUGCUGUGAAGACCGAGCAACAUGAUACAUGUGAAAGAGGGGCAAAAUGGCCACGUCCUCCACAUGUAAAAGCCAUGCUGACUUUGCAGACGUCUUGCCAUUCUAUUCUAAUUUGGGCACCAGCUCUUUAUUAAAGUUUUAUUUUUAUACCUUCUGUGUUUCCUCUAAAUGCCUCAGAUUCUCUGGGGAACCAGCUGGCAUUUACUUCCAUGUAUACCUCCAUAAAAGUUUACAUGGAACUUAAAUGAAAACUUACAUGCAUAUAUCAUUCAUAUGUAGAUAUAUGUAUGUAUACACACGUAAUUUUUAUAUAUACAUAAAAUUUCUUCUCUGUACUACAUUUAAAGGGCUUCUUGUUAAAGUGGAUGAGAUGUUUGCACAAUCAGUUUAAAAGAUUAUUAUUUAAAAACGGAAAUUGCCCAAGGCAGACAACUGGAAAUCAUUCCUCACUGCAACUCAAAUGGAGGAAGUCGUCUAAUUCUUGGGAAUUUAGACACUCGUCUAGUAAUGUAGCACAAAAAUGGGCCUGGCUCAAUCUGCUCUUCACAUUUUGGUAAUUUAAAAGGACAUAACGGAAUUUUAUUUUAAUGGUAAUUGCAAACUCAUGCAGAAAAUGUAAAUGCACAUUUCAUGAUUAGCUUGCAGCAUAAACUAUGGC
ensembl:lncRNA